AUUUUUUGAAUUGGAAAGGUAAAAGAAUAAGAACCUGUGGGUUGAGAUAAAGACAGUUUACUAGGUAAAACAAAAGCUGUGCAUGCAAGCAAAGCAAAACAAUGAAUUCAUUCUCUGCUUCCCAUCGGCAGGCAGGUGUUCAGCCAUUUCCAGGAAAGCAGAGCUCAUCACACAUAACAGUUUCAUGGGAAGACAAACGCCGUCACUCAGUGUUCUCUCCUUCUUUCCCCCACCUUUCCUUUUUCCCCAAAAGGACUUGUCUGAUACCACACUACUGAGCUCCAAAUCAAAGAUGGGUGGCAGGUAUGACAAGGAAAACGAAGAGCAUGCUGUAAUUAUUAACUGUCUACUGACCUAA
rnacentral:lncRNA from 1 species